rnacentral:lncRNA from 13 species
GAGGAUGAAAAGGCUUAUGUCCCAAGCUGGGCAGGAGGGGAAGGGACCUGCUUGGCUCUGGGGCUGGAGGUGACAAAGUUGGCAGACAGGGAGACUGAGGGCGUGGACAGUAGCAGCAGGUGCAGCAGCAUGGGCCCUCCCAGGCAUCAGGGCAGAUGAAGCACUUGGCUCCCAGGGGGUGCCCCAAGGGACCCCGUGGGCAUGGAUGGCUCUGAGUGGGGCACAGGAGAGAAGCUGGUCCGGGCUCAGGGGCAGCAGCACAGAGAGCCCACGCAGGAGCUGGGCUCCAGGCCCCCUCCCGCCGUGUGUCAGUGUAUGUGAAGUCACCGCUUCCUCACUGGGAGUCCUGAGACAGGACGGCAAGGGGGGUCAUUUAGGAGGUGAUCCGGGAAGGAGGUGAGUGGAAGGAAGUGCUGCCCCUUUCGGCUCCACUGUGGCCACCCCCUCGCUCCCCUCCCAGCCACCCUCUGUCAGGGCCUUUGCCCCCUGCUGUCUGAGUCUACUCUCUUGUCCCCUCCUCAGCGUGGACUGUUCCCUGCCCGCCCUUGGUGCCCUAGUCUCCCCCUUGCCACCUGCUCCUCCCCGCAGCUGUCUUCAUGAGGGUCUGAGAGCGCCUCUGUGGAAAUGCUGCGGGUUUGGUCCUUGCCUCUGCCACACUCUCACAGAGCUGGGCAUCUGCACCUUUGAGUGUGGGCUUGGCAGCUGGAAAUGCUCAGAAACCGUGUCUUCCCCCGCCCCCAUCCCAUGCGUGGACAGGGCUUGUCUGACCUGCUGGGGAAUGAUGCCACACUCAAGUGUCCAGGCAGGUGGCUUCUCUGCCCACAGGCCCAAUGGGAUGUGCAGCUGGGCCAUAGCUGGCCUGUCCCCCAGAACCUCCCACCCGGUCCAGAAGGGCUCCUGCACCACCCCUGGGGACAUCUGGACCUCAGCAUGGACUGUGCCUGCCUCAGCAUGGGUGCUGGGAGUAGGUGAAGGCAAUGGAGAACAAGGGGAGAGAGGAAGGACAAAGAAAG